UGACGUGUCGUUUAUCAGCUGUUAUUCCUGGGUGUGGCCAACCUAAUGCACCUGACAGAUCCACCAGGUUGGCCACGCCCCCUGCUGCUCCAUGGUCUCUGGAGGAGAGAGCCCCAGGUGUGUGAGAGCAUGAUGGUGUCCCUGGCCUGCUUUCUGAUUCCCAUGGCCUCCUUGAUCCAUCUUUUGUGUUUGUAUGGCUCCGAUGAUAUGGAGAAAAUGCAUGUGUGAGAAGAGCAGUUGAGAAACGACACAUCACAGUCGCUGCUGAGGAAGAGGAAGACGCCAGUCGAACCAUGUCGAGCUGCAGCAGAUUUCCUCUGGGAUUAAUGAAGCUCUCUGAUGGAGAUGAAGGAGGAGGGCUGAGCCACAGGAGGUGAGGGAGAGCGAUCGAGGACUAUUUGGUCUUGAGUGACGGAUCGAUGCUGUUUGUGUUAUUUACAGUUAAAACCUGAGCUGCAGAGUAAAAAUGCUCCAUUACUCGUCAUCAGCAUCACCUACAGAAGCACAGUCUCUGCAGUGUUCUGUUACACUUAUUAGAUUUGGACAUGAAUCAUAUUGAACAUUUGUUUGUCUGACAGUAAACACAUCAGAGAUUUCCACCGCUGGUUGACCUCAUCACCAACAUAUCCCUCCACCCACACACAGGUAAGAACCACAUGCAUAAACAAGCAGAAAAGGGUAUUAAGUGAGUCUUUGGUGGAUUAUUUCUCUGUGGUAACAUUAAAUCUUUUAAGUGGAGCCUGGUUUGUAAUGAAAAU